rnacentral:ncRNA from 1 species
CCGCCACAACGGCUUCCUGACGUGGCGGUGUCAUUUUUGAAUGGAGCA